AUGGCCUGGGCCCCUCUGCUCCUCGCGCUGCUCACGUUCUGCUCAGGUUCUCUCGCCCAGUACGUGGUGACUCAGUCGCCUUCAGUCUCUGUGUCUCUAGGGCAAAACGCUGAACUGACCUGUUCGGGAAGCAACAUUGAAGACUAUAGUGUGCAGUGGUACCAACAGAAACCUGGCAGCGCCCCCCUACUCGUUAUAUAUGCAGAUAGUGAGAGACCCUCCGGAAUCCCGGAGCGAUUCUCUGGCUCCAACUCCGGUAACACGGCCACGUUAACCAUCAUUGGAGUCCAGACGCAGGACGAGGCUGAUUAUUACUGUCAGAUGUACGACAGCAGCAGUUCUCAGCCUCACGGUGACACAGCCAGACGGGGAAGUGAGACACAAACCUCCCCUUUCAAAGGGAACAGGUCACGUUAUUUUCUGUAA